rnacentral:rRNA from 1 species
UACGUAGGGGGCAAGCGUUGUCCGGAUUUACUGGGCGUAAAGAGCGUGUAGGCGGCCAAGCAGGUCCGUUGUGAAAACUGGAGGCUUAACCUCCAGACGUCGACGGAAACCGCGUGGCUAGAGUCCGGAAGAGGAGAGUGGAAUUCCUGGUGUAGCGGUGAAAUGCGCAGAUAUCAGGAGGAACACCUAUAGCGAAGGCAGCUUGCUGGGACGUUACUGACGCUAAGGCGCGAAAGCGUGGGGAGCGAACAGGA